CAUACGUGCUGCUUUACGGGGCACAUGUCCCCAUCUCCAGGGUCGCCACCCUUACCAAGAAAAGAGAACCCCCUUCCGGGUUCAAGCCAACGUUUUCCAGUUCGCUUGCGUUACCUGACUAGGGCCCGAGCC